rnacentral:rRNA from 1 species
AUGUUCGGCUUCGGUCACCACGGCCACCAUGGCCAGAACCCCCCGGCCCACGCUCCGGCCGCCGCCGGAGGCAACCAGCCCACCUUCAAGAUCUUCUGCAAGGCCGACGAGGGCUACUGCCUCUCCGUCCGUGACGGCAACGUCGUCCUCGCCCCGUCCAACCCCCGUGACGAGCACCAGCACUGGUUCAAGGACAUGCGCUUCAGCGCCCAGAUCAAGGACGAGGAGGGUAACCCCGCCUUCGCCAUCGUCAACAAGGCCACUGGCCUCGCCGUCAAGCACUCGCUCGGCCAGUCCCACCCGGUGAAGCUCGUGCCAUUCAACCCGGAGUACCUCGACGAGUCCGUGAUGUGGACGGAGAGCGGCGACGUCGGCAAGGGCUUCCGCUGCAUUCGCAUGGUGAACAACAUCCGCCUCAACUUCGACGCCCUCAACGGUGACAAGGACCACGGCGGCGUGCACGACGGCACCACCGUCGUUCUCUGGGAGUGGGCCAAGGGCGACAACCAGAGCUGGAAGAUCCUCCCCUGGGGCGAAGAGGCCUACGCCGGAGGCAGCGCCAACGCCCCCCGCGGCGGCUCCUCAGAGCCCACCGUGCGCAUCUUCUGCAAGGCCGACGACGGCUUCAGCGCCACCGUCCGCAACGGCACUGUGGUCCUCGCGCCCACCAACCCCCGCGACGAGUACCAGCACUGGUUCAAGGACAUGAGGCACAGCAACCGCAUCAAGGAUGAGGAAGGCUACCCGGCCUUCGCCCUCGUCAACAAGGUGACAGGCGAGGCCAUCAAGCACUCCCAAGGCGAGGGCCACCCUAACUGUUUGGUUCGCUGUUGCUGUUGGAUCCAACAGGUGAAGCUGGUGCCAUACAACGCCAACUACCAGGACGAGUCAGUGUUGUGGACUGAGAGCCGCGACGUGGGCGCCGGCUUCCGGUGCAUCCGCAUGGUGAACAACAUCUACCUCAACUUUGACGCUCUCCACGGCGACAAGGAGCACGGCGGCGUUCGCGACGGCACCUCCCUCGUGCUGUGGAAGUGGUGCGAGGGCGACAACCAGCGCUGGAAGAUCCUCCCCUGGUAA